AGAUUGAACGCUGGCGGAAUGCUUUACACAUGCAAGUCGAACGGCAGCACGGGGGCAACCCUGGUGGCGAGUGGCGCACGGGUGAGUAAUACAUCGGAACGUAUCCUAGAGUGGGGGGAUAGCCCGGCGAAAGCCGGAUUAAUACCGCAUACGCUCGAAAGAGGAAAGUGGGGGAUCGUAAGACCUCACGCCCAAGGAGCGGCCGAUGCCGGAUUAGCUUGUUGGUGAGGUAAAAGCUCACCAAGGCGACGAUCCGUAGCUGGUCUGAGAGGACGACCAGCCACACUGGGACUGAGACACGGCCCAGACUCCUACGGGAGGCAGCAGGUGGGAAUUUGGACAAGUGGGGGAACCCUGAUCCAGCCAUUCCGCGUGAGUGAAGAACGGCUUACGGGUUGUAAAGCUACUUUCGGCGAGGAACGUAACGGUUGGGCUAAUACCCGAGACC
rnacentral:rRNA from 1 species